UACGAAGGUCCCGAGCGUUGUUCGGAAUCACUGGGCGUAAAGGGAGCGUAGGCGGCGUGGCAAGUCAGACGUGAAAUCCCGGGGCUCAACCCCGGAACUGCGUCCGAUACUGCCAUGCUUAGAGGGUUGGAGAGGUAGCUGGAAUUCUUGGUGUAGCAGUGAAAUGCGUGGAUAUCAAGAGGAACACUCGUGGCGAAAGCGAGCUACUGGACAACACCUGACGCUGAGGCUCGAAGGCCAGGGGAGCGAAAGGG
rnacentral:rRNA from 1 species